UACGAACUGUGCGAACGUUAUUCGGAAUCACUGGGCUUACAGGGUGCGUAGGCGGCUUAGCAAGUCAGGUGUGAAAGCCCCCGGCUCAACCGGGGAACUGCGCUUGAAACUGCUGAGCUCGAGUCAGCUAGAGGUACACGGAACUUCCAGUGGAGCGGUGAAAUGUGUUGAUAUUGGAAGGAACACCGGAGGCGAAAGCGGUGUACUGGGGCUGGUCCGACGCUGAGGCACGAAAGCCAGGGGAGCGAACGGG
rnacentral:rRNA from 1 species